AAGCGGAGGAGCAUGUGGUUUAAUUCGAAGCAACGCGAAGAACCUUACCAGGCCUUGACAUGCAGAGAACUUUCCAGAGAUGGAUUGGUGCCUUCGGGAACUCUGACACAGGUGCUGCAUGGCUGUCGUCAGCUCGUGUCGUGAGAUGUUGGGUUAAGUCCCGCAACGAGCGCAACCCUUGUGUUUAGUUGCAAACAGGUCAAGCUGUGCACUCUAGACAGACUGCCGUGGACAACACGGAGGAAGGUGGGGAUGACGUCAAAUCAUCAUGCCCCUUAUGAUCUGGGCUACACACGUGCUACAAUGGCCGGUACAACGGGCAGCGAAGGAGCGAUCCGGAGCGAAUCCUAAAAAGCCGGUCCCAGUUCGGAUUGCAGGCUGAAACUCGCCUACAUGAAGUUGGAGUUGCUAGUAAUCGCGAAUCAGAAUGUCGCGGUGAAUGCGUUCCCGGGUCUU
rnacentral:rRNA from 1 species